ACCAACAGUUAUAUCACCCUGCAACUCACAACUGGCAACCCAUUGAAGCUAAACAGGUGUGAGCCUGGCCAGUAUCUAGAUGAGAGACCUCCUGGGAAAGCUAGGGUUGCUGCUGGAA
rnacentral:rRNA from 1 species